rnacentral:rRNA from 1 species
CCCUUAGAUGUUCUGGGCCGCACGCGUGCUACACUGAGUAAAUCAAUGGGUAAGGGAACACGAAAGUGCAACCUAAUCUUGAAAUUUGCUCGUGAUGGGGAUCGACGGUUGCAAUUUUCCGUCGUGAACGAGGAAUACCUUGUAGGCGCGUGUAAUCAUCACGCGCCGAAUACGUCCCUGCCCUUUGUACACACCGCCCGUCGCUCCUACCGAUUGAGUGAUCCGGUGAGGCUCUGGGACCUGGACGGAAAGAGCGUUUCGCUUGUUCUGUUUGGGAAACUUGGUCGAACCUUAUCAUUUAGAGGAAGGAGAAGUCGUAACA